rnacentral:rRNA from 1 species
UACGGGGGGGGCAAGCGUUGUUCGGAAUUACUGGGCGUAAAGGGCCAGUAGGCGGCCAACUAAGUCGGAUGUGAAAUCCCCAGGCUUAACCUGGGAACUGCAUCCGAUACUGGAUGGCUUGAAUUCGGGAGAGGGAUGCAGAAUUCCAGGUGUAGCGGUGAAAUGCGUAGAUAUCAGGAAGAACACCAAUGGCGAAGGCAGCUCUCUGGGACGGUACUGACGCUGAGACGCGAAAGCGUGGGGAGCGAACAGG